UCUGCUGGAUAGUUCAGUCAGGUAGAACAUGAGAUUCUUAAUCCCAGGGUCAUGGGUUCAAGCUCACAUUGGGCAGAA